GGAGUAUUGGACAAUGGGGGAAACCCUGAUCCAGCCAUGCCGCGUGAGUGAAGAAGGCCUUAGGGUUGUAAAGCUCUUUCGCACGCGACGAUGAUGACGGUAGCGUGAGAAGAAGCCCCGGCUAACUUCGUGCCAGCAGCCGCGGUAAUACGAAGGGGGCAAGCGUUGUUCGGAUUUACUGGGCGUAAAGGGCGCGUAGGCGGAACGACAAGUCAGAGGUGAAAGCCCUGGGCUCAACCCGGGAAUUGCCUUUGGGACUGCCGUUCUAGAGUUCGGAAGAGGAUGGCGGAAUACCCAGUGUAGAGGUGAAAUUCGUAGAUAUUGGGUAGAACACCGGUGGCGAAGGCGGCCAUCUGGUCCGACACUGACGCUGAGGCGCGAAAGCGUGGGGAGCAA
rnacentral:rRNA from 1 species